AGCAGCCGCGGUAAUUCCAGCUCCAAUAGCGUAUAUUAAAGUUGUUGCAGUUAAAAAGCUCGUAGUUGAAUUUCGGGAUCAAUUUGCUGGUCGUGCCUCUGGUACGUACUGGUAUUAUUGGUUUCUCCCUUCUGACGAACCAUGAUGUCAUUAAUUUGAUGUCGUGGAGAAUCAGGACUGUUACUUUGAAAAAAUUAGAGUGUUUAAAGCAGGCAUUAGCUUGAAUACAUUAGCAUGGAAUAAUGAAAUAGGACGUUUGAUCCUAUUUUGUUGGUUUCUAGGAUUGACGUAAUGAUUAAUAGGGAUAGUUGGGGGCAUUAGUAUUCAAUUGUCAGAGGUGAAGUUCUUGGAUUUAUUGAAGACUAACUACUGCGAAAGCAUUUGCCAAGGAUGUUUUCAUUAAUCAAGAACGAAAGUUAGGGGAUCGAAGACGAUCAGAUACCGUCGUAGUCUUAACCAUAAACUAUGCCGACUAGGGAUCGGAUGAUGUUAAUUUUUUAAUGACUCAUUCGGCGCCUUA
rnacentral:misc_RNA from 1 species